rnacentral:lncRNA from 1 species
GGGGUCUGGGGCACCCAACGUCUGCACUGGGAGAGCAGCAGGAGAAAACCUGAGGCCAACAGAGGGGAUUGGGGUGCCAGGGUGGGCAGGGACCUGGAGUGUACAAUGUGUGUGAUCAUCAGUCCACACCAAAGAAUUAUUUAAAGUUAGCCUGUCUGUUAUUACAGAGUAGGUAUUGAAAGAUGAAUUUGGAACUGACAGGCAAUAAGUGGAUAACUGGCACAAAGCCCCAGUGGAAGUUUCAGGAUGCAGUAACUGUGCAUGCUAAUUCUGCUGAAGUCCCUAACACUGCCAGUCAAGAGUGAACAACAGGGUUGAUCUGAAUAGUGAUGAGACAAUACAGUUCCCAUGUGGCAAAUGGAUGUGGUCUGAGCUGGCAGGACUCGUGGGCAGCUGUCACAGGUAGACUGGUGCCAGAUGAUGGGGCUCAGAGACAAUUUGGGGCCAUGGAGUUGGAAAGAUAGAGGUUGACAAGCCCCUGUGCAAGAAGCUUUAAUGAAGUGGUA